rnacentral:rRNA from 1 species
GUCCACGCCGUAAACGAUGAGUGCUAGACGCUGGGGGGCUUGCUCUUCGGUGUCGCAGCUAACGCAUUAAGCACUCCGCCUGGGGAGUACGGUAGCAAGAUUAAAACUCAAAGGAAUUGACGGGGGCCCCGCACAAGCGGUGGAGCAUGUGGUUUAAUUCGAAGCAACGCGCAGAACCUUACCAACCCUUGACAUGGGACGUAUGGGCUUCAGAGAUGAGGUCCUUCAGUUCGGCUGGAGUCCACACAGGUGCUGCAUGGCUGUCGU